rnacentral:tRNA from 1 species
GGGCGCGUAGCUCAGCGGUAGAGCACUUCCUUGACAUGGAAGGGGUCACAGGUUCGAUCCCUGUCGCGCCCACCA